CCUACGGGGGGCAGCAGUCGAGAAUCAUUCACAAUGGGGGAAACCCUGAUGGUGCGACGCCGCGUGGGGGAAUGAAGGUCUUCGGAUUGUAAACCCCUGUCAUGUGGGAGCAAAUUAAAAAGAUAGUACCACAAGAGGAAGAGACGGCUAACUCGGUGCCAGCAGCCGCGGUAAUACAGAGGUCUCAAGCGUUGUUCGGAAUCACUGGGCGUAAGGCGUGCGUAGGCUGUUUCGUAAGGCGGGUGUGAAAGGCGCGGGCUCAACCCGCGGACGGCACAUGAUACUGCGAGACUAGAGUAAUGGAGGGGGAACCGGAAUUCUCGGUGUAGCAGUGAAAUGCGUAGAUAUCGAGAGGAACACUCGUGGCGAAGGCGGGUUCCUGGACAUUAACUGACGCUGAGGCACGAAGGCCAGGGGAGCGAAAGGGAUUAGAUACCCUUGUAGUC
rnacentral:rRNA from 1 species